UGAGUGAGAAAACAUGCUAUGGCAGGGUGACUUAAAACUUUUUGUUGAGGAGCCCAAUUAACUAUCUUACCCUUAUGCCCUUGGAAUUGAUGAGGGUAUGCCAUUUUAUUGUCUUCUCUUAUAACCCAAAGAAAAGGUCUAUUGGUGAGGUCUAGUCCAAGGGCAAGUUCAUUGAAUUGGUUUUGGUCAAAAAGAGUGAUACUACCAAAGGCAACAUACAACACAGAACCAUGAGCUUGUUCAUCUAGCCAACUCAUGCAAGAGAGAUCUUCUUCCCAGAAUUGCCCCAAUGAUCUUAGAGUUACAUUAGUUUUGUAAUGAUGAUCACUUCUCAACAACGGACCAAUUGGAAGGAGACUCGGAACAAGGGUUAAUACGUGAGGUUCAAGUUCAUGUGCAGUAUCACAAAGCCACCAUUGGGUCAAAUUUAAAGCUGGAGUACAGUGAUGCGCCAAGUAAUUAAGGUAAUGAGAACCAUCCAUAAGUCCAGCCAUGUGAAACCAAAAAAGGGUUCUUGUGUCCAUCUCUGGCAUACUUGGUGAUAAUUGAAUUGUUCCUUUUGAAGUUAAUAUGGAUCCUGCAAUGAAACAUGACAUAAUUGAGAAGUAAAAUAUGUUUUUAGAUGGGCAUGGUAUUUAUUAAAACAGGACCAAACAAAAGCAUAAGGUGCCAGACUUUAGAAACAAAAGUAUGAUAGUGUUCUUACCAUCUGAAUCUAUGAUCCCAUCAUCAACGAGCUUUGGAACACUGCUUACCAAAUGAAACAAAGUUGCAGAGGCAGGCCAAAACAGAGCUCCUUUGAUUCCCAAUUCACAGGCAACGUUCAAUAUCCAUCCCACAUGUACAUCUGCAACAAUGAACCUGAUUCUGUUGUCACCUUUCAAAUGAAUAUUAUUAUUAUCCUCUAUUAGCUUUUUAAGUGCUUCUGGCAUGGUGAUUACCAUAGAAUCACAUAGCUUGCCCACGUCGUUUCUGUCAUCAUUAGGUCCUAAGCCAUCUGAGAUUGAGACCAACUUCAGUGGCGAUUCUUCAUCAUAUUGAUCCACCAUUGAACUCACCACUCUCUUGUGGUUGAAGUCUGUGUUUACAAAUAUGACUCUGCAUCCAUUCUCCACCAGCUUUUGUGAUAGGGUUAACAUGGGAUCACAUGCCCUUGACUUGGAAAUGGGAAAACUAGCACAGUUGGAAUCCUCAUGCUAUGUUCUAGUGUCUGCCUAUUCUUUCAGACCUAGUUUGCACUUCACGGGUAUGGCUUUGUUUAUAUACACUGAAAAUAUGAUUACCAAUUGUUAUAGAUUCAUUGGAUCAAGGAUAAUUGGUAAAUAUCUGGAACCACAAAUUUAAGUUUUGUUUUUAUCUCAAUGAGAGUUGUGUAUGAUUUAGUUAUCUAUAAUGUUAAUAGAAAUGUUAAGAAUUAUGGUUAUUGUUUAUUGUGUAGCCAAAUCAUUUUUUUUCCAUCUUUAAUAUAAUAUGUUUAUACAAAAUUGAGUUUGCUAGUUGAAUUAGAUUGUGAAAGUGCUGGUACCAAACAAUAAGAAAACUUUUCACAUAUUGAUGAACCCAAUUGAUUGAAAAGAGAACCAGAUGCACGUCCUUGGCCAACUAUGCCAGAAUUUGCCCUUUCAAAAGCAAUGGUGUUGUUGUAACUACCACAUCCUAUUAAAAUUCCAGGGGAUUUUUGUUAUUCUGCAUGCGGUACAGAACCCAAUUCUACAGUAUGUUCACCAUAAUGGAAGUAAGCUCUUUCUUCUCCAAUUUUCCUAACGAUCAUGAUGAGAGGGGCAUGUGGAAGAUUUUUCAGCGAAGGGGAAGAGUAAAAGACGUUUUAUUUUAAACAGAUUAAAUGUGAAAGGACAGAGGUUCGGUUUUGUGAGAUUUUAGGAUGUUGUACAUCCACAAGUGGAAGUAUAUAAUCCUUUGCAUAUAUCAGUGAUCUGAGAAUUUUCAUGUUGUCCACAUGGACUGUCUCAAAAAGACGUGUCAGAUUAUGGAAGGCCUCUAUUUGCCUCUUGUCAUCUGCAACGGGUUAAGGAUAUGCAAUUGUCAAUUAUGCUUCAUUUCUAGAUAAAUUCUAUCCUUAUAUAUACUUACUAAAACUCUCAAAUAGCACAUCAAUUCAAAACCCUUUAAAUUGAGUUCAGGCAUUUAUAUAUAUAAAUAUGCAAAUUAAUUAACUUGAGUAUAAUUGUCCCUACCUACAUAUUGGUAGCAAAGAACCAGUUGGUUCUUGAGGUGCUCAUGAAUACUAGUAACUUGUGAGCAAGACUAGAUAAUUCCCAUGCCUCAGUGGUUGAUGAAAUGGACCUGCAAUCAACAAAAUUGGGGCCCCGGCUACAAAACUGCACCGCAAGUCCUCCCACAAGUGAUUUAGGAUAUACAAUGCUUAUGAACCAUUCAUGAACAACACUAUUCAAGUAAAUUCAACUCCUCCAAAACGAGUGAAUGCGUUGAAAAAAAAAACUGCAUUUCCGUUUGUUACAUACACAACCUUUUUAAAUGAACAGUAAAUACACUGUUAAUUUCUCAUUUUAUACAUGUACCUACCUUUAAAGAAUCAAAUUCAUACAAUCAAAAUUUUCUACAGCAUGGCAGUAGCCAGCAGGAAUAAAAAAAGAAUGGAAAUAUGUACUCAGUUCACUAACAUGAAUCUUCCUAGUCCCUCCCCAUCCCAGUUGAUCCACACCCCACACACACACACACUCUUCAAUUUACAACAUUAUCGUUAAACACAAACUAUGCAACUAUGUUCCGUCGCAGCUUCAAGGUUAACGAAUUGCUGGUUGACAAGUCCCUGCGAGAAUUGGAACAACAACAACAAAAGAAGGUACAAGACGAAUCACGAAGCACGGACCACAACCUCAAUCAUAAACCAUAGCCACAAAGAAUGACGGGAACGACGCACUAACGACGAAAAACAAACUGAUAAGAAAAAUUAGGGUUCCGAGAUCGUCAAAUAAAUCACAAACACCACAUGACCAAUCGCGGAACAUUCUACCAUGUUCCGUGCUGGAAUAGCAGAAGCACGUUUUCGUGGUGGAGCAGGAGAAGCAAAGGUCCAGUGAUGUGCGAUGGGAGUUGGACGGAAAUAAGAGUAAAAAAAAGAGAAGAUGGAAAUGAAAGGCGGGUUUAGGGGCUACGGAAGUGAAGAGGAAAGGAAAAGAAAAUAAGGAAAAAAUAAAAAACAAUAGUUUACUAAGGUUUUCAAAUAAACUUCUACCCUUUUUUCCAGAGGUUUUCAAAUAAACAUCGUUAAAUAGACUUUUGAUAUUUAAUAAAGUUUAAGUUUAAAAAAACUUUUCUUAAUUAAAUUUAUUAUGGAAGUUAUAUUAAUCAUUGAUAAAUAAAUUUAUUUUAAUAUAAUAUAAAGUUAUUAAAUGAAAAUUAAUAUAAAGUUUUGAUUAAAUAAAUAUUUAAAAUUAAGUAAACAUUUAUAACUCAACGAAGAUUAAAAAAACUUUCACUAUUUUUCAGAGAUUAAAAUAAAUUUUUGGAAAUUAAUUAAGAUUAUAAAAAACCUCCGUUAUUUUGUGGAGGUUUCAAAAUAAACCUUUGGAAAUUAAUGAAGGUUAAAAAAACCUCCAUUAUUCUACUAAGGUUUUAAAAUAAACCUUUGUAAAUUAACAAAAGUUAAAAAAACCUUCAUAAUUUUGCGAAAGUUUUAAAAUAAACCUUUGAAAAUUAACGAAGGUUAAAAAAAACAUCCGUUAUUUUGCUGAGAUUUUAGAAUAGAUCUUUGAAAAUUAACAAAAGUUAAAAAAACCUCUGUUAUUUUGUUGAGGUUUUAGAAUAAAUCUUUGAAAUUUAGCUAAGGUUAAAAAGCAUCCGGUAUUUUGUUGAGGUUUUAGAAAAAACCUCCAUUAAUUAAAUCAAUCCCUAGGGUUAUAUUAACUUCCGCUAAAUAACCUCCCUUAAAACCUUUUUUGUUGUUGUAGUGUGUAGAUGCUGCUGAUCUAGAAAAAAAGGCUAAAUAUUAUCUGGAUUGGGACAUGGAAGAUGAGUGUAAAUAAACCCAAAUACAAGAGAGUUCAGGAGACUAGGAAGGAGUGGAAUGGAAACCAUAGAACAAAGAAACAACAGAAGGAAUAGAGGCAGAGGGACUAACAUCAAAUGUACGCUUAGGUGGUGGUGAAGGAGAAUGAAAGGAGAGUACAAGGGGUUAAGGCACAAGGAUUGGUUCAUUUCAAAGUUCAGGAUGUCCUGGUAUGUAUACAUUAUUAUUGUUGUCAUAUAUUGAUUUUUAAUAUUAAUUGAUCAAUUUUAAUUUCAUGAUGUUUUAUUGCAGACACAUUUUGAUAUUCCUAAUGUGGAACCGCUGAGAUCGAAGGUGUCAUUAAAUUUCGUCAGUUUAAGUCACAACUAACUAUGAAUUAUGUUUUUGGACGUUAUAAAGGUCAAAAUCCUUGUUUAAAGUACACAAAUAUUGAUGAGGAGACAUGUCGUUUUUUGUUUAAAGCCGUGAAUUUGAAGAGUGGUCGGUAAGUAAGUUACUUAAUUAUUUUAUUUAUGGAUCAUAACAUAAUUACUUAAUAUUAUUUUAUUCACUUUGUUUAUUUCUUUUAUAAUAGGAUCGUCGAAAGAAAGCUUAAGACAUUGCAUUAAAGCAUGUGACCCUGCACCUAAUGUCUCGUUCAGGGGUAUCAUAAGCUUGAACAAUAUUGAUGUAGGAAAAGGAGCAAUCGAGACAUGGGAUUGCUUUUGACAUUGAUACAGGGGUCAACGAACACCACCUACCCGCCGCCAAAAAUGGAAGAUGGCUCGAAUUAAAAAGUCAGGUACAUAUAGUUUUGAGCAAUCACAGAUAGUCUCAGAAAAAAAUUGUAAGUUAUUUUUAUCCUCUUUGGCAUUUAUUUUAAAGCAUUAAUUAUAUUAAAAACUUAUAUGAUUUUGGUCUGUUGCAGGAUUCCUUGGUUGAGCAAAGCUCCUAAGGUAAUUUUGUACCUCAAGGUUGUCAAGAUAUCCUAGUUGAAACAAUUGGACGACCUAAGCACCCUAGUCCUGUACGUGCAAUUGGAAAAGUGGUUGGAAUUAAAAUUUAUUUCGGAGUUGCACCACGACAUUCAUCCUCCUCCCCCCGUUAGAGAGCAAAGCAUAAAUGAUGAUGAAGAUACAACAAGAAUUAAUGGAGGAGAUGAAAAAGGAAAUGAUCACAUGCGGCUAGAGUUGCGAAAGGAUUUUCUAUCGCAACAGGUUUGUGCUGAGUCGGUUGAGCCGCUUGUUAGUCUCAAUCUCAAAAGCACAUAGGGGAGUUGUGCAACUCCUACAACGUCAGAAGGGGAUGUCAUUGGAAAAGUUUAUCAAAAGGCCAUUACCUUACACAACGUUCCUCUCUCCCCUGAUGUGGUGAAGGUAAUGGUGGAACAAGUACGAGUAACUGAUGUUCGUGUUCCACUACCUACAAAUGAGGUAACCACUCUGGCCGAGGCAUUUCAGACAUUCACAGCCUAACCCAGAUACCUCGUUCGAAUUAUGCCAAAACCCUCGGUAAUAACUUCAUUUUGUUAUAUUAAUUUAUAUUUAUGUAUUACAUCUAAUUUAAUAUAAAUGUUCUUUAUUUUGUAGAAACCUCGUCGGAAACCAAGUCCGAAAAAGAAGCAUGAGGUUCCCAUUGAUGAUCCUAUAACUUCUUUAAAAGUAGCGACUAAGGAGAUUCCGUGGGAUGAUAGCUUUUUUGGAAGAGGCACUAACAUGCCACUGUACAUAUAUAUGUCAGAUUUGUUAGAAUUUGCAGCUGAAAACUAGGAUCUUAAUAUGACUAUAAUUCAAUUUUUUAUUAUGUAAGUAUCUUUACCUAUAUUUCAACUUAUUUUAUGUUAAAUUAUUAUUGAUUAUGCUUUAACUAAUAACUUCUAGGUAUUUUUCUAGAGUUUCUAUUAAUGACGAGAAUGAAGAUGUCUAUGGAUUCUUGGAUUCCUAUCAUAUUAACCCAAUUAAAGCGAAGAAAGCCGAAACUCAAUCAUACAUCACUAACACUCUGAGCAAAAAGGGAUUUUUUUUUAUCAUUGCCCUUAUAUUAAUGAGUAAGUUCAAUUAUAAGUCGUCAAGUAUUACUAUUUCAUGUUUUAAAUAUUUACUAACUCUUUUCAUAGAUGAUAUUGGGGUCAGUGACAGUUACUUGUGUUAUCCACGGUUGAUAAGACUGUUGUGUGGUUUUGUUCAUUGCACAAUAAGCCAUCCACACAUCUGAAACAUAUAAUUGAUGUAAUUACACUAUAAACUUGUAUGUUACUUAAAUGUCUACUAACGCGGUUUUUUAUAUUAAUCAGGGCAUGGCAUGGGUAUAACAUACUCGAAGGUCGACCGAGUGCAAAUUAUAAAAACCUGACAUAGUUGAACUUAAAGGUUUGCAAUUUUUGUCUUCCUCUUUUCAUUGUUUAUCAAUAUUAACUUAUAAUUUCUAUAGAAUUAUAGUGUAAUAGACAACCAGGAGACUACGAGUGUGACUAUUACGUCAUGCAAUGGAUGAUUACCAUUGUAAGAGAUAUUAAAACAGAUUGGGAGCAUGUAAUAAUAUUAAAUUUUUUCUUUAUAAUUCUUUAACAUAUAUAACACUAAUUAAUGUGAACCUUAUUUUGUAAUGGAACUCUUUACGGAUGAAAACCCACUGCCUUUGGCUGACAUAGAAUAUGUGAGACAUGCUUGGACCACAUAUUUCCUUAAUUUCUAUAACUCUACGAUAGCUACUCAAUAGUAUAUGAAUUAGAUAGAUAGAUAGGAAUAUGUAUUAGUGUAUGUAAUACAUAUUUAUUAAUAUAUAUAUAAUUUGAUUCUUUGAAUUUAUGUAUCUGGCUGACUGAGUUUUAACUGAAUAGGUUAAUUUAGUUGAAAAAACAUAUUAAACAAAAUGUAUUAAAAAAAUUCUUAGAAUACAUGGCGAUUAUGACCAUAAUCGCCAUUUAUACCUCAUGGGGAAGGGUAUAAACGACAGUUAUGACAAUAACCGACAUGUAUACCCCCAUCUUUGCUGAGCCUUCGAAAGGGUAUAAAACGACGGUUAUUACCGUAAUCAUCGUUUUAUACCUCUUGCAGGUAUGGUAUUUGGGAGUGUAGGGGAGGUUUUAAGUGGCAGUUAUUACCAUAACUUCCAUUUAUUUAUGUCAUUAACACGACGAUCAUUUAGCCGCCAUCUAUUCAUCAAGAGAAUAGAUUAAUGUUCAUACACAACGGGUCAAGAAUCACCAUUUUAUUGCUAAAUUAACCGUCGUCUUUCACAUUUUCUACACUGCAACUUUUCUUUCAUCAAGUAUAUAGAAAUAAUGAUUUGUUUAUUGUUUAUGUUUCUUUUUAUUAACCAACUAUUUACAAUUUUUUUUCAUAAGCAAAAUAAUUUAGUAGUAAAAGAAAGCUAAACUUGAGCACAAUGUAAGUAAAGCUGUAAAAAAUUGAAAUGACUCCAUUAACCAUUGAGGAUCAUAAACAUAAAUCAUCAUGGUAGACAAAACAACAAUUAAUCUAAACCUAGAAUUAACAAAAACACAAAAUGUCAAAUCUUAUUCUUUUAUCUCCUUCACAAACUUCUUAAGGUUCUCAUAAGAUGUACCUCCUUUUGCUAUGUUGUUCAUCACUUUCUCCUUCAACACCACACACCUAAAUUUCAUGCUCUCAUCAUUACAUAAUUGUUCAACCUUGGUUUUCAACUCUCCGCGUGACACAACUCCAUUUUGAUCUUUGUCAAUUCCCAACCCAACCUUUAACUCAUCACAAAUAUGUGUUUUGUUGUAAGGUUGGUCUCCAAAGUAUGGCCAACACAAGAAAGGUACCCCAUUGGACAAACCUUCCAUGGUAGAAUUCCAACCACAAUGAGUGAGAAAACAUGCUAUGGCAGGGUGACUUAAAACCUUUUGUUGAGGAGCCCAAUUCACUAUCUUACCCUUAUGCCCUUGGAAUUCAUGAGGGUAUGCCAUUUUAUUGUCUUCUCUUAUAACCCAAAGAAAAGGUCUAUUGGUGAGGUCUAGUCCUAGGGCAAGUUCAUUGAAUUGGUUUUGGUCAAAAAGAGUGAUACUACCAAAGGCAACAUACAACACAGAACCAUCAGCUUGUUCAUCUAGCCAACUCAUGCAAGAGAGAUCUUCUUCCCAGAAUUGUCCCAAUGAUCUUAGAGUUACAUUAGUUUUGUAAUGAUGAUCACUUCUCAACAACGGACCAAUUGGAAGGAAACUCGGAACAAGGGUUAAUACGUGAGGUUCAAGUUCAUGUGCAGUAUCACAAAGCCACCAUUAAGUCAAAUUUAAAGCUGGAGUACAGUGAUGCACCAAGUAAUUAAGGUAAUGAGAACCAUCCAUAAGUCCAGNNNNNNNNNNNNNNNNNNNNNNNNNNNNNNNNNNNNNNNNNNNNNNNNNNNNNNNNNNNNNNNNNNNNNNNNNNNNNNNNNNNNNNNNNNNNNNNNNNNNCAUGACAUAAUUGAGAAGUAAAAUAUGUUUUUAGAUGGGCAUGGUAUUUAUUAAAACAGGACCAAACAAAAGCAUAAGGUGCCACACUUUAGAAACAAAGGCAACAAUACAAAAGUAUAGUAAAGUAUGAUAGUGUUCUUACCAUCUGAAUCUAUGAUCCCAUCAUCAACGAGCUUUGGAACACUGCUUACCAAAUGAAACAAAGUUGCAGAGGCAGGCCAAAACAGAGCUCCUUUGAUUUCCAAUUCACAGGCAACAUUCAAUAUCCAUCCAACAUGUACAUCUGCAACAAUAAACCUGAUUCUGUUGUCACCUUUCAAAUGAAUAUUAUUAUUAUCCUCUAUGAGCUUUUUAAGUGCUUCUGGCAUGGUGAUUAGCAUAGAAUCACAUAGCUUGCCCAAGUUGUUUCUGUCAUCAUCAGGUCCUAAGCCAUCUGGGAUUGAGACCAACUUCAGUGGUGAUUCUUCAUUGUAUUGAUCCACCAUUGAGCUCACCACUCUCUUGUGGUUGAAGUCUGUGUUCACAAAUAUGACUUUGCAUCCAUUCUCCACCAGCUUUUGUGAUAGGGUUAACAUGGGAUUCACAUGCCCUUGACAUGGAAAUGGGAAAACUAGCACAGUUGGAAUGCUCAUGCUGUGUUCUUGUGUUUGCACUUCACGGGUAUGGCUUUGUUUAUAUACUCUGAAAAUAUGACUACCAGUUGUUAUAGGCUCAUUGGAUUAAGGAUAAUUGGUAAAUAUUUGGAACCACAAAUUUAAGUUUUGUUUUUAUCUGAAUGUGAGUUGUGUAUAAUUUAGUUAUCUAUAAUGUUAAUAGAAAUGUUAAGAAUUAUGGUUAUUGUUUACUGUGUAGCCAAAUCAAUUUUUUCUUCUUCUUUAAUAUAAUAUGAUUAUACAAAAUUGAGUUUGGUAGUUGAAUUGGAUUGUGAAAGUGCUGGUACCAAAGAAUAAGAAAACUUUCCACCUAUUGAUGGAUCUAAUUGAGUGAUAAGGGAACCAGAUGCUCGUCCUUGGCCAACUAUGCCAGAAUUUGCCCUUUCAAAAGCAAUGGUGUUGUAACGACCACAUCCCAUUCAAAUUCCAGGGAAUUUUUGUUAUUCUGCAUGCAGUACAGAACCCAAUUGUACAGUACGUUCACGAUAAUGGAAGUAAGUUAUUUCUUCUCCAAUUUUCCUAACGAUCAUGAUGAGAGGGACAUGUGGAAGAUUUUUCAGCGAAGUGGAGGAUUAAAAGACGUUGUGAUUUAAAAAGAUUAAUCGUAAAAGGGCAGAGGUUUGGUUUUGUUAGAUUUCAGGAUGUUGUAGACGUUGCUAAUCUAGAAAAAAAGCUUAAUAUUAUCUGGAUUGGGACAUGGAAGCUGAGAAUAAAUAAACCAAAAUACAAGAGACUUCUGGAGGUUAGGAAGGAGUGGAAUGGAAACCAUAAACCAAGGAAACAACAAAACGAGUGGAGGCAGAGGGAGCAACAUCUAACGUACGCUCAGGUGGUGGUGAAGGAGAAUAAAAGGAGAGUACAAGGGGUUAAGGCACAAGGACUGGUUCAUGUCAGAGUUCAGGAGGAAAAUGCAAAAUGGCUGAGAAGUUGCUUCGUAGGAAGAGUGGCGAAGGUGGAGAAGGUGCAGUCCAUGAAGUAGUGUUUCAUUAUGGAUGUUUUCAAGUGUAUUAGAGUGAGGUAUCUAGGGGGGACUACGUUCUGCUGUCUGAGGAUUUGGUAGGGGUGGUACAAAAAGCGUUGGAAGACAAAAAGGAGUGGUUUGCAAAUGUUUUUGCAUUUGUAGUCCCAUGGGAUGACAUCUUUGUAGUGGAGGACAAGAUUGUAUGGGUUAGAUGCAGAGGAAUUUCUUUAAAGUUCUGGAGUAAACAUUGUUUUGAACAAGUAGCAGCCCUCGUAGGGUCAUUGAUAGAAGUCGAUGUUGCAACGUUAUCAAGUACGCAAGGGUGCGUGUGAGGGUUCCUGUGGCCAGAGAAGCAUGCACGGUGAAGAAUGUGAGACUUAACGAAACAUUGUGUAAGCUAGUUAUAGAGGAGGAGACUUCCAUCACGAGUCUCUGCGUAUGCGGUCCUCAUUAUAAGUGGAGGGAGAUGCAUGGAAGGGAGUCAAAUGGUUAUUGGGUCUCGAAAGGCCCAGCGAAGUGAAGGCAGUAUGUUUAGUGUUUUCAUGGGUUUGGGCCCAAGGAAGGUGGAAGUUGAACAAUCAGGGGGUAUUGCAAGCACAUAACCCACGAAAUGGCAGCUAGAACAACGUUUACGUUGGCGAGGGGAGGAAUGGUGCGUUGCGAGUGAGUAAUGGAGGAAGGCAGGUGAGGGGUAAGGUGAAGCUCCUAUUGAGGUUGGGCGCUUGCAGAGGAGAAGGUGUCAUUGUCAUAGAGACAAAAGAGGGUGUUGAAACAUAUCAGUUGGCACAACGGGGCUAUGGCAGAUUUUCCCCAACAACGACGACGUUUAUAAGUGCCUAAUUUCAAUAAUAUUUUAUAUUAAAAUAUAGGUACUUAUGUGUAUUAAUUUCUAAAUUACAUAUAAAAUAAAUUCCUAAUUUAUGAAUUUAUGCCUUUUUUACAUUUUUUAUGAUCUUUAUUUGAAUAAGAACAUUUUAUUCCCAUAUUUGGUGUUAAUUGUAGGUUUCUAGGGAAAAAUGGAGAUUUGGACUAAAGAAGAAUGAUAUAAGCUAAAAAGAGAAUGCUGGAAGGUCCAGAAAGCACAAAAAGAGAAAAAAAAGAGUCCAACCCAGUAGCAGAGUUCUUGCUCAAACAAGCUAUAUCUCGCUUGAGCGAGAGAGCUCCAACAACGUUCUCAAAAAAUCGACUCCUUUCUCGCUCAAGCGAGAAUGCAUCAGAGAAAUUGGGCCAUUUUUAUGUUUUAUCAAUAAACCCAUCAGUGCGACGCAAGAAGUCACAUAACCCUAGUAAAUUAGGUUAAAUAGGGGGCUAAAGGCUCAACCCUAGUAUGCCAGAUUGAGAGAAAAACACAUUUGAGUGAUUUGUAACCAAUUGGGAGAAUGGAAGGUGCUGGAAGUAUGCGUGGGUAAUUCUACCCUUUGGGAUUGGGAGUAAUAUGUUCGAACUCUUAUGUAUUGAGGUGAUGUUUAAAUAUGAUAUCAUAUUUUGUCCUUGAUUGAUUAUUGGUAUUGUUGUUUUUCUUCUAAAUAGUGGUGACAUGUUUGAGAAUCUUGAAUUAGACUGGGAGGUAUUUUCAGGGUUCUGACCUAAACAACAAUACUUAACAUAUUUGAAUGUUAGAGAUAACUUGAAAUGUCAAUUGCUAUUAACGUCUGAGCGCGACUCUGAGUUGUUUUUAUAAGUAUGCGAGAGUUCGAUAUUUAGGAAACAUUCUUAAGAAUUUUAUAUGCGAGAGAUUGAUAUAAAUGAUUUUUCUACAGACAUCAAUUUCAAUAAAAGAACUUAAUGUUAACAUGCUAAUCAAAAUACAUGAGAGUGAGCAAGAUGAAACCUAAUCCCUAUUUGUCCAAUUGAAGCAAUUACUCUUUGAUUUGUUUUCUUGUUAAUUGUUGCCAUUAUAACAAUUUUCAAACCAAAUUUUUAUUGUUUUGUUUUAUAUUUAGUGAAUAUUGUACUUGAUAAUUCAAUUGUUCCUUGUGACAUUGAUAUUCAUUCUUUAUUACUUCUAACAACGCGAUGUACUUGCUGUAAAAAGUCAUCAGGCGUCCCCGGCUUCUCCCCUGCAUUCAUUUGGAGAAGGCAGCGAGCAAAGGGGGCGGAUAAGGGUGAAAAUUUUAAGUCUUCGAGCUGCAAUGGAAAGGCAGCCACGGAGGAGAAGGAAGACAACGACUUAAGGGGAUGUGCGACUUUGGAGGAAGGUGAUGGUGGUUGGUGCAGGGGAGAUGCGGACGUGAAGUUCGCUGAAAUUUUAAUCGAAGCUAAGGGAGAUGGAGAUUUUUCAAAAAGAGGAGCGGAAGCGAGAAUAUUGACGGGGGCCACACCGACAAACUUUUCGGUGCAAAAUCAACGGGAAAUAAGGUUAGAUUCUUAGAGCUCAAUCAAUUGCUCUACUCAUAGUGCACUUAGGAAUUGUAAUAGGUUGUUUUGGAUUAAAACGAGUACUCGAAAGCUGAUAGAAUUUGGAAUGUUGGUAAGGAGGUGGGGUUUUCCUUUCUCGGAGAGGGUGAUGUUGUUAUUGGUAAGCUACAAGUCAUGGAGGUUAGAGACAAAUCUGCAGGUAGGAGGGAGGAAAUAAGCAGGGUGGAGAAUAGUCUGUCUAAUGAGUAAGCUAAUUAAUAUGAAUAUAAGGGGAGUAGGGGGAAAUAUUAAAAGGAAAUAUCUACGAGUUGAUUAAGAAAGAACAAGUAUGUUUACAGGAGGCAAAAUGUAAGGAGUUGGGGCAAGAAGAGAUUUUUAAAAUGUGGGGUACUAAUGAAGUGGAUUGGGUUGAAAAUGGAAUUAAAAACAAUGCAGGAGAGGUGAUCACGAUGUGGAGGAGAAGUUGCUUUCUUCUUAGUAAUUUUAUCAAUGAGAAGAAUUAUAGUAUAAUAGAAAGGGAGUGGAGGAUUGGAGAGCCGAUACAGAUCACUAUUGUUGACGUGUAUAAUUCCGGUUCCUUGGAAGAAAAAAGAUAAGUAUGAGAGGAGGUCAGAGAGAGGAGAACGGUGCAUGGAUCAAAGGCUUGGUGCGUGGUUGGGAACUUUAACUCUAUCAGGAGAAUAUGUGAAAGGAGGAAUGCAGGAAACGAUAUUGAUCACAGUAGGGAGAUGAGAAGAUUCAAUAAUUUUAUUGAAAACACUGAGUUGGUUGAUAUUUCGAUGAUGGGAAGAAAGUUUACGUGGUAUAAACCAAACAAUUUAAUCAAGAGUAGAAUUGAUCGUAUCUUGGUGUCGCGGGAAUGGUUGAAUAAGUAGCCUAACAGUAAACAUCUCGUUCUAAACAGAUCGGUGUCUGAUCAUUGCGUCCUGGUAUUAAAAACAGAUACUACGGAUUGGGGACUGAAACCAUUUAGGUCGUUGGAUAUAUGGAAAAAUGACGACAAAUUUAUGGAUUUCGUUAGAGUGAAAUGGGGAAGUUAUGACGUGCAAGGAAGUGAGAUCUUUGUCUUUAAAGAGAAGUUGAGAAUGUUGAAAGUUGAUCUUAAAACCAGGGAUAGAGAGGUGUUCGAUAAUGUUGAUCAGUUGGGGGAAGAUUUACAGAAGAAAGUUUAGGAGUCUGAUGCAAAGGAUGAUGAGGGCGAGUUGGAUGAGGAAGGAAGAGAGGAAAGAAAAUGGCUUUUAGCAAAGCAGAGAAGAAAUAAUCACGGACAUGAAGCUUUAUUUCAACAUAAGAUGCGCCAUGGAUGGUUGAAUCAGGGGGACUUGAAUACAAGAUAUUUUCAUUCGGUAAUCAAAUAGAGGAGAGCAAGGAACAACAUUAGUGGGCCGAGAGAAAAUGGCCAAUGGGUUGACGAGCAAGGUGAGGUCAAGAAAAAGGUUAGAGAUUUCUUCCAACAAAGGUUUGGUGGUGAUGCUUGUAAAUGUGUCAGGAUUGAUAAUGCAAGGUUCAACAGGAUUUCAGAAGAAGACAAUGAUAUGUUGGUAGGAAGAAUAAUCGAAGAGGAAAUAAAACAUGUUGUUUGGUGUUGUGAAAGUGAUAAAAGCCCGAGACCGGAUGGAUUUAACUUUGGCUGCAUUAAGUUUUGUUGGGAUGUUUUUAAGGUCGAUAUCAUUAGGGCAAUUCGUGAUUUUAAGGAAGGAGGAAGAUGGCCAAGGGGGACGAAUGCUUCGUUUAUCUCCUCCUAAAUAACCCGCAAAAAUUUGAACGAUUUUAGACCAAUUUCUUUGAUUGGCUAUCUAUACAAAAUUGUGACUAAAAUUUUGUCUUUGAGGCUGAAAAAUGUUUUGCACAAAGUUAUUGACAGUAGGCAAUUUGUUUUCUUGGAGGGUAGGGGGUUAAUGGAUAGUGUUUUAGUGGCAAAUGAAGUUUUGGAAGAAGUGAAGAGGAGAAAGACCAGUUGCUUUUUUUUUUCAAAGUUGACUAUGAAAAGGCAUAUGACUCGAUCAUUUGGGACUUUAUCUAUUACAUGAUGGACAAGUUAGGUUUCUGCGGAAAAUUGAUUGAAUGGGUAAGGGCAUGUCUCGAAUCAUCCUCCGUGUCCGUGUUAGUAAAUGAGAAUUCAGACCGAGGAAAGAAUUAAGACAAGCAGAAUUGAGAAAAAGAUUGGCUGGAGUAGUUAGGAAGGCGGUCGAGAAAGAGAUUCUAGAAAACCUGGAGAUUGGAGACAAGUUUGUUAAGGUAAACAUGCUUCGGUAUGCGAAUGAUACCCUUUUUUCUGCAAAGCUAAAGUGCAAAGUGUGUUCGUUAUCAAAGCCAUCCUUAAUUUAUUUGAAUUAGCUUCUGGUUUAAAGAUUAAUUUUGAGAAGAGCAGAAUAUGUGGGGUGGGAGGUGAUUUACAUAUGGGGCAACUUUGUGUAUCUAUUUUGAACUGCGCUGUGAUGAAGACUACGUUUAAGUAUUUGGGCAUGCUAGUAGGGGGAUGUCACAAAAGAAGUAAGUUAUAGGAAGACUUUGUCUGAUAAAAUUGGUUCUAUCUUCUCUACCCAUGUUCUAUAUGUCACACACACACAAUAUUUCAAAAUAUUGCCCUCUUCAUAGGAAUUUUAAUAUUUACACAUAUCAAACUAAAAUACUUAAGAAAACUAAACAUUUCCUUUGCUCAUUGUGAAGCUCUCUCAUUUGUAGCAUCAUCUGCUUCCGUAUAAAUACAUGAUCAUCCUAGAUAAGAAAAACAAAUUAUAAAAUAAACAACAUGGUAAACUAGCUAUUUUUAAAAUUUCAAAUAUAAAUUUAACUUAAAUUAACAAGCAUAAAUGCAUCAAUUCUCAUAUAUUUCACAAAGAAAUCAAGUGUGUAUAAAAUUCAUAAUUCAUCUUUCUCAUGUCAAACUUCUCCUAACCCACAACACAUAGACACUUGACUCUACUUUCAGAAGACAAAUGUAUUGAAAUUAGCACUCAGAAACAAACAAUCCUUCAAGAAAAUUGAACUAGUGUCCACGUCACCCGCACAUCCAGAUCUUCUAACCUAGGUUCUAUUGAAAAUUUAAAACUAGCUUCCCUUACCUGACUUUAGUAGGUGUGCUCACAAAGAGCUCCAACUCCUACUACAAUAAAUGAUAACUUAACCUGCAUCACAGAGUCUUAAUCAAAGGUCUAAAUAUAACACUAGGAAUUUGAAUUAAGAGUGGUUAAUCUUGAAGUUAGAAACAUCACAUGAAACAACCUAUACUAAGACAAACCUAACUAGUUAAGAACUGACUCAAAGGAAAAAUGAGCAAAAAAAGAAGAAGAACUUACUCUGUCUAAGAUUCUAAUCGUACCGUCUUGUGGCCUUUGCUGCUAGGAGUCCAAUAAUGGACUCUGAUCGUUAAUAUGAUGAAUGAGGAUGUCGAAAUUUUAGAGAUAAGGUAGAGAAAAGGAAAAUAGAAGUUUCAGAGAGAUGGUAAUUCUUUUAAAAUGAAAUAUGAGUAACUGAAUUUCUUUUCAUAUACUAUUUUCACUUUAAUAAUAAAAUAUUCAAGUUUCAUUUAAAAUAUAUCACUUCUACUCUAAAAUUAGUUUUUAGAUCCUUACCUUCAUCAAUACAUUUAUUUAUUUAUUAUAAAAGUUUUUAGUGGCAUAAGAGUGUAUGAAUACAUUAUACCGUUAACUUCAUCUUCAACUUACAUCAUGUGAAAAUUUCAUUUAAAUAAUGUUUAAAGCUCACUAGUGGAAACUCUAAUGUUAGUUACAAUUACUGUAUAUAGGAACCUAUAAUAAUAGUUUUUUAAACUAAAAAUUAUUGUUGAACUGGACAAGAGUGAGAAUUUACUAAAAAAACCUUCAAAUUAUAAUUUUUAUUCAAUAAUAAUUUUUUUAUAAAUAAAAAUUAAAUUUUGUUAAGAAUUCAGUUGGAUCCCAUAUUUUUUUUUAGUUUUCUUUUUCAACUAUUUUUUUUGUGUGGAUUCUUCUUAUCAUUUGUAGAGUAGCUAGUUACAUGAGCAACAACUUUUUUUGAAAGGGAUGGGAGGGAGGGAGUCUCUUUUCUCAUAUUCCAGUCUCUUUUUCUGCUGGUGUAUGUGCUAAUCAAAUUCCUCUGAUUUGGGAAGUCUUUAUAGUUUAAGUUUUUUAGUGUUAAGUGCUCCCUUAACCCUGUUUUGUAUUGUUGUUUGUUUAAACUAUGGAGGUAUUAUGUAUAAGGAUUGGGACACUCUUUAAGUGUCUCAUUUUUAUUUUAUUAAUUUAAUGCUGAUAAAAAAAAAAAACAACUAUUUUUGAACUAUUUCAUAUGCUUAGAGAAUCAUCAUUCAUUUGAUCUUGAAUUUCUGGUUCCUUGUACUUUUCAGACUUAAUUAAUAUGGACCACGUACCCCAUGAACUAAAUGCACCUAAGUCUUUUGUCUCUUGCACCUCCAUUGUCAGAACCACGUGGCCCAUCACAAGUUUUCACAGUGUCCUUUUAGAAUUUUUCAAUCUUUUCUCAGUUUGCUUUCUUUAUUUGUAUAUGUAUUAUUUGUGUACAUAUUGAAAACUUUAUUGUAUCUAGAUUACAGUAAAUAUAUAUGGUUCUCGAACAUGUGUUUGCUUACAAAACGAUUGCUCUGUUCUUUCCUUUGGUCGUUCGCGGUCAUAUUCAGUUUCUUGCUUCGUCUUUCUCUUUUCGGUCGUUUGGUUUCAAAGGUUGGGAUAGUACUUGCAGAAGGCAUUCCGACGAUCAAGUUAGUCAGAGUAUCGACACUCAGUUGUCAGAGUACUGCAGAUAAUUGACGUACCUGAUUUUUGGAAUAUGUGUUAUUUAUAUUAUCUUAAUGAACCUUUAUUGGUGGGCCGGAUUAAGAUGUUGGCUAAUGUUUAGGAUUUAGUAAACAACUCUUAAUUAUGGAUUAAUCCUGCUGACUUGGUCAACCCAUAGUUCGUCAUCAAGGUCGGUCGAUCAGGUUCUUCACAUGACCUUCUUAUCAUGACCGAGUGAUCGAGUUCAUGACCGACUCACUUAGUGGUUCGAUCGUGUGCCAGUACAUACAUUUUUUUACUUUAAAGUGAUUCAUAAUUUUUACUAAUAUUAUAUAAUUUUUCACAUUAAAAAUGCGUAUUUUUUUUAUGAUUUUUGAGUUUGUGUUAUUUCUUUUAUCAGUUUAUUAAUAUAAAAGUGUCGGUUCAAAUAAUUCGAAACUUAAGUAUUUAUACACUUUAUUCAAAUUGAUCAAUUCAAUGGGAUGUAAACUAAUUGGGUACUGGAAGGAUAAGAAAGUAAAUUGAACUAUUAUGAAAGACUAUUUAUAUUAAUUUUACCUCUAAAAGUUUAUAUUAUGUUCAUUAAAAUAACUAAUAAGUAGAGAUAAAAUAAAUAACUUUAACUAAGGGUUGAAACUCGAAUUUUUAUUUCAGAGUUGUUAACUUAACAUUUAAAAUCUUUCAAAAGCAUGAACAAUCUUUUAGAUUGGCGCCUGUAAAUAAGAGAAAAAAAAUCAUUAUUUUUGUUUCCUAUGUUUAUAGGAUCUGAAAAAAAAAACUAAUAAGUCAACACAUAAGUAUAAAAUGAAUAUCAAAUUAAAUUUUUCAUCAGUUAUCAUUAAAUCUUUAUAACUGUGUGUUAGUUUGAAUUGGGUCAGUUUAAACAUAAAACCAACUCAACACAAUCAUAAAUAAAACUUCAACUCAACCUAUUGAAUUAAAUUAAAGUUUGUUAAGCUGGCGUUUUUUUUAAUUAGGUUGUAUUAUUAUUUUUUAAUUAGGUUAAUAUUUAAAAGUUAUAAUUUUUAACGAAAAAAAAUUCAAAUUUUUGAUCCAAUCUUAAUCCAACCAUCUCAAAAAUGAUUUGGAUUAAUUGGUUUAACAUGCAAAAUUUAAAAACAAACUUAACCAACCUUAUAUUUUUAAAUGGGUUGAAUAAUAGGUUUUUCUAGAUAUACCCAAUAGAAAACCAUUUAAAAAUUAUAAUGGAUUUUUACCGCUUGAAAAGAGAUUCUAUUAACUUGGAUUCCAUCUUUUCUUUCAUCAAACAUAUAGUGAUAAUGGAUUUUUUUUAUUGUUUAUAUUUCCUUUUGUUAACAAACUUGCUACAUUUUUUUUUCUUAAGCAAAAUAAUUUAGUAGUAAAAGAAACCUAAACUUGAGCAUAAGAUGUAAGUAAAACUGUAAAAAAUUUAAAUGACUCCAUUAAUCAUUGAGGAUCAUAAACAUAAACUAUCAUGGUAUACAAAACAACAACUAAUCCAAACCUAGAAUUAACAUAAGCACAGACUGUGAUGUGAAAUCUUAUUCUUUUAUCUCCUUCUUCACAAACCUCUUAUUCCUUUAUCGCCUUCACAAAGCUCUUAAAGUUCUCAUAAGAUGUUCCUCCUUUUGCUAUGUUCUUCAUCACUUUCUCCUUCAACACCACACACCUACAUUUUAUGUUCUCAUCAUUAAAGAUCUGUUCCACUUUGGUUUUCAACUCUCCGCGUGACACAACUCCAUUUUCAUCUUUGUCAAUUCCCAACCCAACCUUUAACUCAUCACAAAUAUGUGUUUUGUUGUAAGGUUGGUCUCCCAAGUAUGGCCAACACAACAAAGGUACCCCAUUGGACAAACCUUCCAUGGUAGAAUUCCAACCACAAUGAGUGAGAAAACAUGCUAUGGCAGGGUGACUUAAAACCUUUUGUUGAGGAGCCCAAUUCACUAUCUUACCCUUAUGCCCUUGGAAUUCAUGAGGGUAUGCCAUUUUAUUGUCUUCUCUUAUAACCCAAAGAAAAGGUCUAUUGGUGAGGUCUAGUCCAAGGGCAAGUUCAUUGAAUUGGUUUUGGUCAAAAAGAGUGAUACUACCAAAGGCAACAUACAACACAGAACCAUCAGCUUGUUCAUCUAGCCAACUCAUGCAAGAGAGAUCUUCUUCCCAGAAUUGCCCCAAUGAUCU
rnacentral:lncRNA from 1 species